UACGAAGGGGGCUAGCGUUGCUCGGAAUCACUGGGCGUAAAGGGCGCGUAGGCGGAUCUUUAAGUCAGGGGUGAAAUCCUGGAGCUCAACUCCAGAACUGCCUUUGAUACUGAAGAUCUUGAGUCCGGGAGAGGUGAGUGGAACUGCGAGUGUAGAGGUGAAAUUCGUAGAUAUUCGCAAGAACACCAGUGGCGAAGGCGGCUCACUGGCCCGGUACUGACGCUGAGGCACGAAAGCGUGGGGAGCAAACAGG
rnacentral:rRNA from 1 species